UAUGAGUCAUGCUUAUGUAUGCAAAGCAAUUUAUCAAUCAUGAUGCAAGCAGCAGAGACAUUCUACUCAAUUCUACAACACAUUCAUGAUGAUUCAAGUUAUGGCACCACACAUGACAAUGCAAUAAACAGAACAUGAUAUUCUAAUACUCUAGACAUUACUUAAUAUUAAUAGGACAAUGCAGCAGAAACAUUUUCAGUGUAAUUAGCCUAGACAUUCUACUAGAAACUAUAAACUCUUAAUGGAAUUAGGGAAAGCACAGAGUAUACUCAAGAGAUAGACCUAUCAAGACAUACUAAAAUAGAUGAGACUAGGUUUACUCCCUUGGUUAAGUUGAUGAAGAGUGGUUCUUAAAUUUGCCACUUGAAUCCCCACUUCUUCUUCUUCUCUUAUUACAAUCACCCUUCUGAAUUCGCCACCAUGAUGGAAUGCUUGUGGAUGCUUCAG
rnacentral:lncRNA from 1 species